rnacentral:rRNA from 1 species
GUAGGUGGGCAAGCGUUGUCCGGAAUUAUUGGGCGUAAAGCGCGCGCAGGUGGUUCUUUAAGUCUGAUGUGAAAGCCCCCGGGCUCAACCGGGGAGGGUCAUUGGAAACUGGGGAACUUGAGUGCAGGAGAGGAAAGUGGAAUUCCACGUGUAGCGGUGAAAUGCGUAGAUAUGUGGAGGAACACCAGUGGCGAAGGCGACUUUCUGGCCUGUAACUGACACUGAGGCGCGAAAGCGUGGGGAGCAAACAGGAUUAGAUACCCUGGUAGUCCACGCCGUAAACGAUGAGUGCUAAGUGUUGGGGGGUUUCCGCCCCUCAGUGCUGCAGCUAACGCAUUAAGCACUCCGCCUGGGGAGUACGGUCGCAAAGACUG